UGAUUAUAUGAGCCUUGAUUAUGAUCUAGUAUCUUUUUCAGUCAAUAAUGAUGCCUCAUAAUCUUUAUCUCAGCACACUAAAAAAUGACAGCUCAUCAGCAUAUUCUCUGCACAAAGUUAAAGCUGUUUCAAGGUGCUUUUCUUCAAGACAAAGGAAUGCAUUAAAGGAGUUGGUUGGCAGCUGUGAACAUUUCUUCAU
rnacentral:lncRNA from 1 species